rnacentral:rRNA from 1 species
AUACGGAGGGUGCAAGCGUUAAUCGGAAUUACUGGGCGUAAAGGGCGCGUAGGCGGUCUAUCAAGUCAGGUGUGAAAUCCCACGGCUCAACCGUGGAGGUGCAUCUGAAACUGAUAGACUUGAGUAUGGGAGAGGAAAGUGGAAUUCCCGGUGUAGAGGUGAAAUUCGUAGAUAUCGGGAGGAACACCAGUGGCGAAGGCGACUUUCUGGACCAAUUCUGACGCUGAGGCGCGAAAGCGUGGGGAGCAAACAGGAUUAGAAACCCUAGUAGUCC